rnacentral:misc_RNA from 1 species
AACGCACAUUGCGCCCCGUGGCAUUCCGCGGGGCAUGCCUGUCCGAGCGUCAUUGUGACCAAAUCACGCCUGGCGUGGUCUUGGGGCGCGCAGCUCUGCCGCCCUCAAACGCAGUGGCAGCGCAGGGUGGCUCUUAGCGUAGUAAUACUCCUCGCUAUAGGGUCCGCCGGUCGCCCGCCAGCAACCCCCCCAUUGCGCGGUUGACCCCGGAUCAGGUAGGGAUACCCGCUGAACUUAA